AUGCUCCACUUGCGGCGGAUUCUGUACCUUAGCUCCCUAUCUGCUUAUGAAUCCUUCUUGAUGGCAAGGAGUAUUGCACUACAUGGCCAAAUGAAUCGGCCCAGCCACCUCGGCAAUGCCUUUUUCUGCACCUUCAGUAAUCCUCUGGGGGAACAAGUUGGCAUCACUAAAGGGAAGGAUAGAGCAGAAAUGAGGAAGGAAACCAAGAAGGUCAAUGUAACAUCGGCCACCAUCAUUACAAAUAGUAGCCAUCGCGAUGGGUCUAUAUACAAAAACUCGUUUCUCGACGUAUGUCAUGUCAAAAACCGUGCUGAGACACAAUUGGAGCCAAUGAGGUUAUCGGACCCUGCUAAUUGCUAUCCUGACCAGAAAAGGUGUCGUGUGCAUUUUGAAUGUGACAUGAUGCAAAUUUUCUUACUAAAAUUGGCUAUAGUUCCUAUGAGCACAAGCUCAGUGCAAUUAUAUGGAUAUAUAGCAGCACGUGAUUAUCUGGAUUUAUCGCUUAAUUAUAUUGUCAAUCGUAGCAGGGACAACCCCCUUACGGUGCGACAGGGUUCCCUCAUUGAGAUGACUGGCCCUAAGAGGGGCAUCACAAUGACCAGCGCUGUUCUAGUUGAGUAUGACAUGAGGAUCAUGAAAGGAGAGCAAGAAGAAGAUGAUCUACAACUAAUUGACGGUGCAACAGACUUCUGCGAAGUAACCACACCUUCUUGUCCAUCCACGUAUCGUAUUAAUGGCGAUUGUGGUGCGGUUGACAUCACAUUAGCAUGCGUUGUCAAUGCAGUGGAGGCCACAAUAGAUGUUAUUGUAUCAGAAGUGCAGGGUGGAUUCAGUUUAUCUCUCAGUUCAUUUGUGUUUGUCGGUGGGUCACGUCAUGGAAUUGAGCUUUUUUGUGAUGAUGUUGGCGAGUCAUGUGUCUUAACAAGAAGAUAUGUGAUGGCCGUAGAGAUGGAUAGUUGGAUGCAGUUGAAACUCAAGGUAGGUCAGAAAGGUUCUAAAUAUGAUGACCUGGAACGUUAUUGUCGCUUCAAAGCACACAUCCAUGGAUACGCACGUCGACAAAUACAGCUUGAGCAUGCCUCUAUCUGGCUGAAGGUGACUUGGUCGGCUAUGCCAUAA
rnacentral:rRNA from 1 species